UACGUAGGGUGCGAGCGUUGCCCGGAUUUAUUGGGCGUAAAGGGCUCGUAGGCGGCCAACUAAGUCAUACGUGAAAUCCCUCAGCUUAACUGGGGAACUGCGUGUGAUACUGGAUGGCUUGGAUUUGGGAGAGGGAUGCGGAAUUCCAGGUGUAGCGGUGAAAUGCGUAGAUAUCUGGAGGAACACCGGUGGCGAAGGCGGCAUCCUGGACCAAUAUUGACGCUGAGGAGCGAAAGCCAGGGGAGCAAACGGG
rnacentral:rRNA from 1 species